rnacentral:piRNA from 1 species
UGCCAUACAGAAGGCCUUCCUCUUGC